GGGUCGUUAGCUCAGUCGGUAGAGCAGCGGACUUUUAAUCCGUUGGUCGCAGGUUCGAAUCCCGCACG
rnacentral:tRNA from 1 species